AAAAGACGAACACAGAUUAGCUUCGGCAGGUAAAAAAAACAAAACAACACUACCAAACGACAUCUUAUAGCCUACCGAUUGUUUGAAAAGUCGUGGGGAUGUGCCUCUCCCCAAUCACACCUGAUGCCGAUUCCCAAUCUCCAGAAACCAACACCUGACGCCGACACCACGUCUUCUGCGAGCUCGGUACCCGCAGAUGUGUUCAACUAAACCCACUUCCUUUGGUCAGCGCUCUUUGCCCUCGUCACGCUGUACAGAUGGGCAAACUACUGAUAGCUCAGUUCUCC
rnacentral:lncRNA from 1 species